AACGCGAAGAACCUUACCUGGGCUUGACAUGUGAGUGACCGCCUUGGAAACAAGGUCUCCCUUCGGGGCACUUUCACAGGUGGUGCAUGGCUGUCGUCAGCUCGUGUCGUGAGAUGUUGGGUUAAGUCCCGCAACGAGCGCAACCCCCGUCGCAUGUUGCCAGCAUUUAGUUGGGGACUCAUGCGAGACUGCCGGUGACAAACCGGAGGAAGGCGGGGAUGAGGUCAAGUCAUCAUGCCCCUUAUGUCCAGGGCUACACACGUGCUACAUUGGCGCGUACAGAGGGUUGCGAUACCGCGAGGUGGAGCGAAUCCCUCAAAGCGCGUCUCGGUUCGGAUUGCAGGCUGAAACUCGCCUGCAUGAAGGCGGAGUUGCUAGUAAUCGCGGAUCAGCAUCGCCGCGGUGAAUACGUUCCCGGGCCUUGUACACACCGCUAGUC
rnacentral:rRNA from 1 species